rnacentral:rRNA from 1 species
ACUCAAAUGAAUUGACGGGGACUCACACAAGCGGUGGACCAUGUGGCUUAAUUCGACAACAAACGAAGAACCUUACCAGGACUAGAAACCCAACUGACCAUUCUAUGAAAGUAGAACUUCGCAAGACAGUUGGGCAGGUGCUGCAUGGUUGUCGUCAGUUCGUGUCUUGAGACGUACCGUUAAUUCGGGUAACGAACGUAACCCUUGUCCUGUGUUUUACAUGUCACAGGAGACUGCCCGAGAUAAUUGGGAGGAAGGUGAGGAUGACGCCAAAUCAGCAUGGCCCUUUGAUGUCCUGGGCUGCACACGUGGUACAAUGGCCGGUACAAUGGGUUCGAAGCCGCAAGGCGGAGAAUAAUCCCACCAAAACCGGUCUCAGUUCGGAUUGAGGGCUGAAACUCGCCCUCAUGAAGCUGGAAUCGCUAGUAAUCGCCAAUCAGCUACGUGGCGAUGAAUACGUUCCUGAGUCUUGCACACACCGCCCGU